AACAAACCAUCAAGUGGAAGUUAUACUGGUGAUCCCGGAGUCACUUUGUCCCUCACAGAUCUUCAGGUGAAGGUGGGCACAUCUAGAUAUUCUUUUUGGGCAGAUCUGACGUGUGUCAGCAGUUGUACUCUCCCUCCUCAUUCCUCCUACAUUUGGUUCAAGAAUGGAGAGAAAAUCCCCAGAAAAACAUCCUCGACUUACUCAGCCUACUUUAAUAAUGCAGACAGCUAUUCCUGUGCUUUACAGGAACACCAGGAUUUCCCCUCUCCUCCAGUGUGUGUUCGUGGUGAAACCUGUAACAGAGUGAAGUACGAUGUCAG